AAAAAAUAUUUUCGUUGUUUCCCUUUAUUUCCAACUAACCUUCUAUAGACAAAUCCGAUAAUUUCUUCGAAAUCAAAAGCCUCUGUAUUGCAGAAAAGAUUGAUCUUCGAUCUUUCCUCACAACACAGAUACACGAAGAUAUGAAUCUCAUGGUCAUCAUCACCACCGUCGUUACAUCUCAGAGAACCAGAAAGAAAGAGACAUAAAUGAAGGCGAAGGGAAUGGUUAGCUGAAGGAAUUGCAGGUCUUCAACAAUGGGUUUUACAUGCAUCGCGCGCUGGAGUGACGAGAUCAUGCUUGAGUUGGAGUUUCAGUCAAAAAGUGAUAAAUCAAGGCUUCUAUAGAUACUUCCAUUUGGGUGGUCGCCACUUUUAACUGUGUAACUUUGGUUAUUAAGCAUCAGAAGUAGUCUUAGAGUGGAAAACAAACUCCUGUCUCGAAGUAAUUCAGGUAGACGUACAUACCAUCUUUUAGUUACAAAUUCUAUUGAAAGUAUGAUGUCUGGUUUGCUUUGCUGUUUACUCAUGUCUAUCGCAAGUGAACUUGAAUCUCCAGUUAAAGAUUGUCAAGUGUUAUCGUGUCAUUAUCUUCAUUAUUUUAAGUAUUUGGAAAUUUUGUAAGUUUAUGUAUAUCAGUUACUUAUUUUACAUUUCUAUAGACAUGCUUGGUGGUUUUAACUAA